UCUCUCAGCACUUCAUGCGGUAACGUCUUCAACAUAUUAAACUUGAACCUUGGACAAUGUUUACAUAUUCUGGAUGCCAUCCCCCGAAACCCUCUUAUGUUCUCAUUAGUAACACUUUGAUCACAAUUGUGCACAGAUUUUUAAGGCAAAAUAACGGGACGAUCGUCACCUUCAGGUUUGUACGUUGAGGCUUUUGAUGACGACGCAAUUCAAAUAUUUGCGUUUUUUGCUUCGUUCACGGCUGAUUUACACCUUCGCAUUGUUUCCGUAAACCGCAUCUUGCACCUUUUCCAAUGACAAAUGCAUGGAGCCACCGCUGGAUAUUUUCAGCAGUCAAUCCCUCAGGCCGUCUACUCUCUUGGGGGAACUUAGGCCAUUGCUCUUCCCUUUUUGUCAUUCGUGCUAUCUUGUUUUACUGUAAGCAAUAGCAAAAGAACACAAGCAUCCGUCGAGUGCAGUCGAACCGAAGAAAAUGCUGCCGGGAAGGGAGUUUGGAUUGGCUCUAACGUCUCUGCUUUCUUGGUUGCUGUUUGGUGACAGUUCCAGCGAUCCCGAAGGAUUCGUCCGCGACGUGUCGACUAUUCGGAGUGAAUAUGAUUUUAUUAUAAUCGGAGCUGGAUCAGCCGGCGCUGUUAUCGCUAAUCGUCUAACUGAAGUGGAGGGUUGGAGCGUGUUGUUGCUGGAGGCUGGAGAUGAUGAAAGUAUAACUGGACAAAUACCACUGUUCGCUGGUAGCUUACAAUUGACGAAUUUGGACUGGCAGUACAAAACAGUCCCUCAGGACAACGGUUGCCAAGGAUAUGCUAAUCGCAAGUGCAACUGGCCUCGGGGUAAGAUGUUAGGUGGAAGCUCCUCUCUCAAUUACAUGUUGUACGUUCGAGGAAACAAGCGAGACUACGACAAGUGGAGAGAUGACGGAAAUGUUGGUUGGGGAUACGACGAUGUUUUACCAUAUUUCCUUAAAUCAGAAGAUAAUCAAAAUCCUUUUCUCGCCGGAACGAAAUACCACGGCAAAGGCGGGUAUUUGACGGUUGGUGAAGCUGCUUUUCGUUCACCGUUAGGUGCCGCAUUCAUUCAAGGCGGGGUGGAAAUGGGAUACCAAAAUCGGGACUGUAAUGGCGAAUUCCAAACAGGUUUUAUGUUUCCCCAGGGAACUGUGCGUCGUGGAAGGCGUUGUUCAACUUCGAAAGCUUUUCUACGGCCAGUCCGCAAUCGACCGAAUCUUCACAUUUCUAAAAAUUCGCACGUCUUGAAAAUUAUCAUCGAUCCUGAUACGAAAACAGCGACGGGAGUUCAAUUUGAAAAGCGUGGAAGGAAGUAUGUUGUCAAGGCCAAUAAAGAAGUUGUGUUAUCUGCCGGAAGUAUUGCUUCUCCGCAAAUUCUCAUGUUGAGCGGAGUUGGUCCAGCGGAUCAUUUGAAAGAGAAAGGCAUUACUCCAAUAUUGGAUCAACCCUUCGUUGGAGAAAACUUGCACGAUCACGUUGGAAUCAUCGGAAUGGUUUUCCUUAUCGAUAAGCCGUAUUCUGUUAUUUCGACUACCAGAGUUAUGAAUUUACCAGUAAUUCUCAAUUAUACUCUCUUCGGAGGAACCACCAUGUCUCUGUUAGGCGGGGUGGAAGGACUUGGUUUUAUCAAAUCGAAAUUUGCUGAUGCUGCAGAUGACUCGCCGGAUAUUCAAUUGCACUUUGGUUCCGGCAGUGAAAUAUCUGACGACGGUACUGCCGUCCGAUUCGCUCAUGGCUUUUCCGAUGAAUUGUGGAAUGAGUACUACAAACCAAUAGUCAACAGGGAUAGUUGGUCCGUCUUCCCUUUGUUUUUACAUCCAAAAUCGCGAGGAAAUAUUCGACUGAAUUCGAACGAUCCCUACGACAAACCCCUCAUCAACCCGAACUACUUCUCAGAUGCUCGUGAUUUGGAAGUGACUGUCGAAGCGGUCAAAUUCUGUUUAGCUCUCAGUAAAACGGAAGCGUUGCAGAAAUUUAAUUCCAAGUUGUACGACAAACCUUUCCCAGGAUGCGAAGAUCAACCACUGUGGACGGAUGAUUAUUGGAAAUGCUGGAUCAAGAGAUCCAGUUUCACUUUGGCACAUACGGUAGGUACUUGUAAAAUGGGUCCCGACUCCGACCCUGCAGCCGUUGUCGAUCCUCAGUUGAGAUUCAGAGGUAUAAAGAACUUGCGCGUUGCUGACACAUCCAUCAUGCCGAUUGUGCCUAGUGGCAAUACAAAUGCACCAACGAUUAUGGUGGGAGAAAAGGCGUCUGACUUGAUUAAACAAACUUGGCUGUAAUGUAUAUAUGGAGAAAGAAUUAUACUUUUGAAGCUAUCAGUGGUUAACUGCAAUAUCAUUUUAAGAAAACAAUUUUUCUUAUUUUAUGUUUGAAUGUUCACCGAGAAAUUGGGGAACCUCGUAAAAACGGGUAACAUGAAACGAUAUAUUUCUCUCUAACAUCCCCUCUCUAAUUUUCCACUGCGACAAGGAAAUAAGUAGUUCUUCAACUUCCUUUCUAUGCUUUCUCCGAUUCAAGGUCGCGCGUUGUUCGCUGACGGUGCACGAAGAUAUCUUGGUCAAGGAUACCUUCCGUCUGAUAAAUAAAACCGUUUUUUUAUUAGUUCAUUCUCAGGUCGUCGAGCGUCAUAAUCUCCCGCCUAUAUAUCACUGUCAGUCAUUAACUAUGUCGAAACAGGUUCUUGCUGCUGCCAUGGAAAUUACUGAUGUUUAUUUUUAAAAAUUCGCGCCCUUUUUCAAUUCGAUUCAGAGGAUCGCAGACCUUAUGGUCAUUGCUGUUUUUUAAAUUGAUACUAUUUUAGCGCCUGUCCAGUUUCCGUACCGAUUCUUCAGAUAUAGAUUGAUCGAGUUCAGCUGCGAUUUAGCUGAUUAUAUCUGCCAAGCUGCCGGCAGUUGAAUCUGGAACAUCCAGCAAUUCAAACUGAAGGCUGACACGGACGAUGGGCAUGGAUUCCUUUACAACUCGUGACUCUAGUGGACACUGGCGAUACCGUCUUGGGAAAGGACUGCAAGCCAUAAACUUAACGAAUCGCACCCUGAAGACUACGUGAGAAUGUAAGGUGAGUGGAACGCUUCUCAAUGUAAAACAUGAACUAGACGUGUGGCUGUUAGUCACUUAACAACCGUCGAACCCGUCAGUACCCAUCCUCGGCUAGCAGUGAUUUUUAAUUCGCUUAAGCCUGAGUGUCGAAAAACGAAACAAAAACUACGGUAAGUGCAAUGCCAGAAUUGUUAUUGCAUCUUGGAAUUUAAAGAUGCGAAUUGCAUUCUGCCGUGAGAUGGCUUUUAUUUAACAUUUUAUUUUGGCUUUACUUGUCACUCACGGAAGAUAAUCCAUCAGUCAAAGUGAUUGAACUUGGAAAAUUUUUUGGGUAUAAUAAAGGAUUACAUGACAAGGUUCAAGGUUGUCCAUGUUCAAAAAUCUGCCGUAAAAGUAACGGGAAAUCAACGGGAGAUGAGAAAUCUUUCAAGCUAGUAAGGAGUGAUAACAUAUUAUUCAAAACUUCUUUGUUUUCCGAUUCCCUUAUAUUUAUUCUGUGUUAUCUGCGAUAUUCAUGGACUUAUGAACGUAUAAACGGCUGAGUACACGCGAUACUCCUUUUGGCGUACGUAAUGUAUUGUUGGCAGAAGUGUUGUACUUUUUCGGUCAUAGUAAUCUUAAGAUCCCAAUAUAUGCAUCCUUUCAGUUGGAACAGG
rnacentral:misc_RNA from 1 species